UACUACUACUACUACUACUACUACUACUACUAUUACCACUACUACUACUACUACUACUACUACCAACUACUACACUACUACUAUUACCUACCUACCUACUACGUACCUAGAUACCUGUUACUGGACUUUUAGGGCACGAAUGAAGGAACUUUCUUAUAAUAGUAGUAUAGAUUCGAUACAUGAAGGUUCGAUCGACGACGUUAAAAAGAUCGAUAAUGUUCAAACUACGAGAGGGUGCAUGGUGAAUGAAAAAGAAAUAACGAAAGAAGAAAAAGGUGAAGAAAAAAAAAAUAUUAAUAAAAUAAAAUGAAAUGAGUAUAUAUAUACAUAUAUGUAUAUACAUAUGUAUAUACAUAUAUGAUUAUAUAUAUGUAUAUGAAAGGAAAACGUCUAUACAACUGUUGCACCUACGUCAGAGAACCUAUUUGUUGUGAAUAUAUUAUAUACAAAAUAAAUAAAUAAAUAAAUAAAUAAAUAAAUAAAUAAAUAAAUGAAUAAAUAAAUAAAUAAAUAUAUAUAUAUAUAUUAUACAUACAUACACAGUACAGGUAUUUAGGUAAACGUGUACACAUAAUACGAGAAUAAGAUUCAUUCGGUUGAUCGUACGAAUUCGAUUGUAAAUUAAUUAAUGAAAAAUUGUAAAUAGCUCUAAAUGUGAAUAUAGAACAGAUGUAUCUAUUA